AUUGCCUGUAAGGAAUGUGACCUUGCACUGCUUUUUGCACAGCCUGGGUCCAGAAACCUGUGCCUUCACAGAGGAUCUAGAAACCAGCUGAGGCCAGAAUAGGUCCAACUUAAAGACUGAACUGGGUCUGGGAUCAGACUGGGAAACCAGACUGGGUCUGGGGUUGGACUGGUCCAUUUACCACAGUUUCUGGUAACCAGGAUGAGACCUGCUGGGACACGCCGUUCACCCCAGAGCCUAGAGACGGAUCCUAGGAAAACUGGCAGAAGCUGGAAAAGGGAGAAUAUUCCAAGGAGCAUUCUACAUGGUUUUCCAGAGGGUUCCAGGAAGACUGAGCCCCAGUUGCCCACAGUGGCGACAGACUCAGUAACGUACUCUUGUAUUGGUUGUUCCUCCUCCUCUAUGUUGCAUAUGCUAGUCGCCCACUCCUGUUCCCUGGGAUCACUUCCCAAAUUAACUGCCUUGUCCUCAGUGUGAGAUUUUGGGGGGAAGCUCAGACUAAGAUAGUAACUUUCAAAAAUACUUUUUUAAAGGAAAGAAUGAUUUAGCCUUUUUCCCUUCAACUCUUCCUGACACUUCUGUUGUUUCAAAACUUUUCCUGAGUUGUUUCAAAGCUAUAACUCUAGUUGUCAGAAUUUAACAACAGGUUUGUGUUAGUGGCUGAUCUGUGUCCCUCCACAAUCCAUGUAUUAAAGCCUUAACUCCCAAUACUUCAGAAUGUGACUGCAUCUGGAGACAGGUCUUCAAAGAGAUGAUUAAGUUAAACUGAGGCUGAUGACUAGGUCAUAAUCCAAUCUAUUAUCCCUGUAAGUGUGAACACAGCCAGAAAGUGGUCAUCUGUAAACCAAGGAGAGAGGCCUCAGCAGAAACCAAAACCUGCCAACACUUUGAUCCUCUAGCCCCCAGAACUUGGAAAGAGAAAUAAACUGUGAGAAAUAAAGUUCUUUAU